CUUCUGCAGUGAUGAAGUAUGAAUAAGAAAUUAUGCACAUGUCAGACUUCAGAGACUUUCAUUGAUGAGAAGAGACAUUUAAAACUCUUAAGAGAAG